CAAUAGCGUAUAUUAAAGUUGUUGCAGUUAAAAAGCUCGUAGUUGGAUUUCUGGUCGGAAGCUCCUGUCCUCUGAUGAGCGUACAAGUGCGUCCUACCAUCCUUCUGUUAACCUUUAAGGCUUUCGCGGCUUUCUAGGGGCUCAGAUAUUUUACCUUGAGAAAAUUAGAGUGUUUCAGGCAGGCUAGCGCCGGAAUACAUUAGCAUGGAAUAAUGGAAUAAGACUUUUGCCUCUUCUGUUGGUCAUGAGGCUCGAGUAAUGAUUAAUAGGGAUAGUUGGGGGCAUUAGUACUUAACUGUCAGAGGUGAAAUUCUCGGAUUUGUUAAAGACUAACUUAUGCGAAAGCAUUUGCCAAGGAUGUUUUCAUUAA
rnacentral:rRNA from 1 species